GAGCUUGCUCCUGUUGGUUAGCGGCGGACGGGUGAGUAACACGUGGGCGACCUGCCUGUAAGACUGGGAUAACACCGGGAAACCGGUGCUAAUACCGGAUAAUCCUUUUCCUCUCAUGAAGAAGAGCUGAAAGUCGGCUUCCGCUGACACUUACACAUGGGCCCGCGGCGCAUUAGCUAGUUGGUGAGGUAACGGCUCACCAAGGCGACGAUGCGUAGCCAACCUGAGAGGGUGAUCGGCCACACUGAGACUGAGACACGGCCCAGACUCCUACGGGAGGCAGCAGUAGGGAAUCUUCCACAAUGGACGAAAGUCUGAUGGAGCAACGCCGCGUGAGCGAUGAAGGCCUUCGGGUCGUAAAGCUCUGUUGUUAGGGAAGAACAAGUACCGGAGUAACUGCCGGUACCUUGACGGUACCUAACCAGAAAGCCACGGCUAACUACGUGCCAGCAGCCGCGGUAAUACGUAGGUGGCAAGCGUUGUCCGGAAUUAUUGGGCGUAAAGCGCGCGCAGGCGGUCCUUUAUGUCUGAUGUGAAAGCCCACGGCUCAACCGUGGAUGGUCAUUGGAAACUGGAGGACUUGAGUG
rnacentral:rRNA from 1 species